rnacentral:rRNA from 1 species
UACGGAGGGUGCAAGCGUUAUCCGGAUUCACUGGGUUUAAAGGGCGCGUAGGCGGUCGUGACAAGUCACUUGUGAAAUCUCCGGGCUUAACUCGGAACGGUCAAGUGAUACUGUCGGACUAGAGUACAGAAGGGGCAACUGGAAUUCUCGGUGUAGCGGUGAAAUGCGUAGAUAUCGAGAGGAACACCUGCGGCGAAGGCGGGUUGCUGGGCUGAUACUGACGCUGAGGCGCGAAAGCCAGGGGAGCGAACGGG